rnacentral:rRNA from 1 species
UACGUAGGGGGCAAGCGUUGUCCGGAUUUAUUGGGCGUAAAGAGCGUGUAGGCGGCCAGGUAGGUCCGUUGUGAAAACUCGAGGCUCAACCUCGAGACGUCGGCGGAAACCCUCUGGCUAGAGUCCGGAAGAGGAGAGUGGAAUUCCUGGUGUAGCGGUGAAAUGCGUAGAUAUCUGGAGGAACACCGGUGGCGAAGGCGACAUCCUGGACCGGUAUUGACGCUGAGUGAGCGAAAGCCAGGGGAGCAAACGGG